AAAUUGAAGAGUUUGAUCAUGGCUCAGAUUGAACGCUGGCGGCAGGCCUAACACAUGCAAGUCGAACGGUAACAGGAAGCAGCUUGCUGCUUUGCUGACGAGUGGCGGACGGGUGAGUAAUGUCUGGGAAGCUGCCUGAUGGAGGGGGAUAACUACUGGAAACGGUGGCUAAUACCGCAUAACGUCGCAAGACCAAAGAGGGGGACCUUCGGGCCUCUUGCCAUCAGAUGUGCCCAGAUGGGAUUAGCUAGUUGGUGAGGUAACGGCUCACCAAGGCGACGAUCCCUAGCUGGUCUGAGAGGAUGACCAGCCACACUGGAACUGAGACACGGUCCAGACUCCUACGGGAGGCAGCAGUGGGGAAUAUUGCACAAUGGGCGCAAGCCUGAUGCAGCCAUGCCGCGUGUAUGAAGAAGGCCUUCGGGUUGUAAAGUACUUUCAGCGGGGAGGAAGGUGUUGUGGUUAAUAACCGCAGCAAUUGACGUUACCCGCAGAAGAAGCACCGGCUAACUCCGUGCCAGCAGCCGCGGUAAUACGGAGGGUGCAAGCGUUAAUCGGAAUUACUGGGCGUAAAGCGCACGCAGGCGGUCUGUCAAGUCGGAUGUGAAAUCCCCGGGCUCAACCUGGGAACUGCAUUCGAAACUGGCAGGCUUGAGUCUUGUAGAGGGGGGUAGAAUUCCAGGUGUAGCGGUGAAAUGCGUAGAGAUCUGGAGGAAUACCGGUGGCGAAGGCGGCCCCCUGGACAAAGACUGACGCUCAGGUGCGAAAGCGUGGGGAGCAAACAGGAUUAGAUACCCUGGUAGUCCACGCCGUAAACGAUGUCUACUUGGAGGCUGUGCCCUUGAGGCGUGGCUUCCGGAGCUAACGCGUUAAGUAGACCGCCUGGGGAGUACGGCCGCAAGGUUAAAACUCAAAUGAAUUGACGGGGGCCCGCACAAGCGGUGGAGCAUGUGGUUUAAUUCGAUGCAACGCGAAGAACCUUAC
rnacentral:rRNA from 1 species